CAUACAAAUCCUUGAAGAUAGUAGAAAUGUAAACAAAUUUAAUAUUUACGGUAUUUACAUAUAUGCAGUUACAUGCAAUUAUGGAAGGUGUCUACUUUGAUUAAUAAAGUGUCUAUGGAUAAUAAAACAAGAUUGGUUCCAAGGUUAUGGUGGUAAAAACCAGCAUCGUAUGUACCGCACCAGCGCAGCCACCUAUGUUGCCAAAAAACCAUCUGUUCACACAAUGCCAGCAUCCUUUCAUUGUCGGUCACAUAAAUUCUUAGAGCACUUAGGAAAAUGCGGCAUGUACAGAAAUCAUUCUCUCAACACAGCGCUUGAUAACAGCAAAGUUUAAUGACAAUUUCUCCAUCUUGAAGAAAAAACUUGUGAAAUCAUGUUUAAGAAAAAAAUCAUGAAAAUUAGUUAACCAGUGAACAAAAAAGUAAACAUUUUAUGUUAAACCUUAUUGUUUUGUUGAAAUAAAUUAAAGUUUAUCAAAGCAGUUGUUUUAAUUGCACUUUUGUUUGUAACACUUUAUAUUUUA